AUUAUACACCGGUGCCAAAUAA
rnacentral:miRNA from 1 species